rnacentral:rRNA from 1 species
AUCUUGGAGAGUUUGAUCCUGGCUCAGGACGAACGCUGGCGGCGUGCUUAACACAUGCAAGUCGAACGAAGAGCGAUGGAAGCUUGCUUCUAUCAA